GAGUGUAUAACUCAGUGGUAGAGCUUGUGGUUAGCAUACACAAGGUCCUGGGAUCACUCCCCAGUACCUCU
rnacentral:tRNA from 1 species